rnacentral:rRNA from 1 species
CCUACGGGGUGCUGCAGUGGGGAAUAUUGGACAAUGGGCGAAAGCCUGAUCCAGCCAUGCCGCGUGUGUGAAGAGGGCCUUCGGGUUGUAAAGCACUUUCAGUGGGGAAGAAAGCCUUGGGGCUAAUACCCUCGAGGAAGGACAUCACCCACAGAAGAAGCACCGGCUAACUCCGUGCCAGCAGCCGCGGUAAUACGGAGGGUGCGAGCGUUAAUCGGAAUUACUGGGCGUAAAGCGCGCGUAGGCGGUCUGAUAAGCCGGUUGUGAAAGCCCCGGGCUCAACCUGGGAACGGCAUCCGGAACUGUCAGGCUAGAGUGCAGGAGAGGAAGGUAGAAUUCCCGGUGUAGCGGUGAAAUGCGUAGAGAUCGGGAGGAAUACCAGUGGCGAAGGCGGCCUUCUGGACUGACACUGACGCUGAGGUGCGAAAGCGUGGGUAGCAAACAGGAUUAGAUACCCCAGUAGUC